UUCGAUUCUGGCUCCAGAUUGAACGCUGGCGGGAUGCUUUACACAUGCAAGUCGAACGGCAGCACGGACUUCGGUCCUGGUGGCGAGUGGCGAACGGGUGAGUAAUGUAUCGGAACGUGCCCUGGUAGCGGGGAAUGCUUCUGCGAAAGCGCUAUCUGCGCGCCGCUAUCGAAGGGAAAGCAGGGGACCUUCGGCCUCGCACUAUUAAAACGGCCGAUAUCGGAUUGGCUAGUUGGUGGGGUAACGGCUCACCAAGGCGACGAUCCGUAGCUGGUUUGAGGAGGACGACCGAACCACACUGCGGGACUGAGACACGGCCCAGACUCCUACAGGAGGCAGCAGUGGGGAAUUUUGGACAAUGGGAAGCCACAGUCCAGCCGCCCGUGUGCCGAUGAAGGCCUUCCUGGUUGUAAAGCACUUUUAGCAGGAAAGAAACGGCACGGGAUAAUACUCGAUGCAACUGGCCCGAAUACCUGCAGAAUAAGCACCGGCCCCAACUACGUGCCGGCAGCCGCGAUAAUGCAUCGGAGUGCAAGCGUUAAUCGGAAUUACUGGGCGUAAAGCGUGCGCAGGCGGUUCCGGAAAGAAGAUGUGAAAUCCCAGAAGCUUAACUUUGGAACUGCAUUUUUAACUACCGAGCUGAGUGUGUCAGAGGGAGGUGGAAUUCCGCGUGUAGCAGUGAAAUGCGUAGAUAUGCGGAGGAACACCGAUGGCAGAAGGCAGCCUCCUGGGAUAACUGCGACGCUCAUAUGCGAAAGCGUGAGGCAAACAGGAUUAGAUACCUAGUGAUCCACGCCCUAAACGAUGUCAACUAGCUAUUGGGGCCUUCGGGCCUUACAGUAGCGCAGCUAACGCGUGAGAUUGACCGCCUGGGAGUACGGUCGCAGAUUAAAACUCAAAGGAAUUGACAGGGACCCGCACAAGCGGUGGAUGAUGUGGAUUAAUUCGAUGCAACGCGAAAAACCUUACCUACCCUUGACAUGUCUGGAAUCCCGAAGAGAUUUGAGUGCUCGCAAAGAAGAACGCGGAUGAGUGCUGUGGCUGUCGUCAGCUCGUGUCGUGAGAUGUUGGGUUAGUCACAACGAGCGCAACCCACUUGUCAUUAGUUGCUACGAAAGAGGGCACUCUAAUGAGACUACCGGUGACAAACCGGAGGAAGGUGGGAAUGACGUCAAGUCCCUCAUGGCCCUUAUGGUGAGACUUCACACGUCAUACAAUGGUCGGGACAGAGGGUCGCCAACCCGCGAGGAGGGUAAUCCCGACCGAUCUCGUAGUCCGGAUCACCAGUCUGCAACUCGACUGCGUGAAGUCGGGAGAAAUCACCUCGUAAUCAACGGAUCAACAUGUCGCUGGCAGUGAAUAUACGUUCGGAGUCUUAUACACACCGCCCGUCACACCAUGGGAGUGGGUUUACCGGAUUAUAUCUAACCUGUGGAGGGCGAUUACCACGGUAGGAUUCAUGACUGGUGUGAAGUCGUAACAAGGUAA
rnacentral:rRNA from 1 species